rnacentral:rRNA from 1 species
GAGUUUGAUCCUGGCUCAGAAUCAACGCUGGCGGCGUGCCUAACACAUGCAAGUCGAACGAGAAAGGGUAGCAAUGCCCGAGUAAAGUGGCGCACGGGUGAGUAACACGUGACUGACCUACCUUUGAGUGGGGGAUAACCUAGGGAAACCUGGGCUAAUACCGCAUAACACCUACGGGUCAAAGUCCGCCUCGGCGGACGCUGAAAGAGGGGGUCGCGGUCGAUUAGUUAGUUGGCAGGGUAAUGGCCUACCAAGACUGUGAUCGAUAUCCGGCCUGAGAGGGCGCACGGACACACUGGAACUGAAACACGGUCCAGACUCCUACGGGAGGCAGCAGUGGGGAAUUUUGCGCAAUGGGGGAAACCCUGACGCAGCAAGGCCGCGUGGAGGAUGAAGUCCCUUGGGACGUAAACUCCCUUCGAUCGGGACGAUAAUGACGGUACCGGAAGAAGAAGCCCCGGCUAACUUCGUGCCAGCAGCCGCGGUAAUACGAGGGGGGCAAGCGUUGUUCGGAAUUAUUGGGCGUAAAGGGUGCGUAGGUGGUUCGGCAAGUCUUGUGUGAAAUCUUCAGGCUCAACUUG